AAACCCGUCUGAUAGCGCUUA
rnacentral:snRNA from 1 species